GACGAACGCUGGCGGCGUGCUUAACACAUGCAAGUCGAACGGAAAGGCCCUGCUCUUGCGGGGCGCUCGUGUGGCGCAGGGGUGUGUAAAACGUGUGUAACCCCCCCCUGUCUGUGUGAUAACUCUUGGAAACUGGGGAUCAUAUCGGAUAGGAGCUUUUGCUGCACGUGGGGGGAUGGUAAGUUUCGGCGGUUGUGGAUGGACUAGCUGCUUAUCAGCUUGUUGGGCGAGUAGUGACUGACCAAGCGUACGACGGCUAGCCGGCCUGAGAGGGUGGACGGCGACAUUGGUACUGAGGUACGGAGCAGUCGCGUACGGGACGCAGCGGUGGGGAAUAUGGCGCAGUGGGCGCGAGCGUGAUACGGCGAUGCCGCGUGCGGAAUGACGGGCUUCGGGUUGUGAACAGAUUUCGCCUGUGACGAAGCGUGAGUGACGGUAAUGAGUAAAGAAGCACCGGCUAACUACGUG
rnacentral:rRNA from 1 species